rnacentral:lncRNA from 1 species
UGCAAUUGUCAUCUACUUUUUUAUCAAAUGAUGUAUGUACUCUUGUUUUAUGAAGAGUUUGGUGCUUGUUUGAAGGUGUAAAUUAGUCAGCUACAGACUUGGAGUGUGUAAAUUUGAUAACUCCCCUACCAAUGAAUAUGUAAACUCCCCUGCCAAUGAAUAUGUACAGCAAAUGAAGUGGUCAUGCUUUUAUUGUAUACUACUUUUGUGCCAUGCUUUAAGGAUUCACAAAAAACAUCUUUAUCUUUGUUUUUUGGAUUCUGGAAUGUGUUAUGUGCCAACAUUUUCUAUUUUU